AAUUAGGACCAUACAUUGAGAUUCUUUUAUCCUCAUCGCUAGCUAGUCGGAACGCUAUCUCUCUUCUUCUUCGUCACUCAACCAUCAAAAUAUGGUAUAUAAUUAACAACCUCUUUUUUUGAUAUUUACUUAAAACUAUACUGAACCACCUAUCUAUUUGGUUUUUGGCGCUGUCCCGACACUGAUGAGCAUUAGAUUAUAUAAAUGGAAGGGAGAGAAAGUCAACUAAAGCAGAGACGAGUGCACCAAGGGAUGCUGGCUAAGAAGGGUUCUGUUUGAUUUUAGCACCUGUUGAAGGUGAGCCUAUCGGCAACUUUCCUUCUGAUUUCAACCUUCGAAUUGCUUGUGUUAGGCAUAUGAUCUUACCGACGACAUCUCCCUUCCUCUUUGUAGGGUAAGGGGUUUACCGGGGAAGAACCCUAAAUCCGUCUACCUUUUUACCAGUAAGCCAUCGUCUAUUCACUUCUUUAAUGCGUGAUAAGCUUGACCGAGGAAACUUGCUUUACUUCGAAUCAAUCUCUAGCUUUCGACUAAGCUAAGAUGCAGAUAGGAUAGGAUCAAUCUAACUAACUAAAAAGGAUAUUCCCUAGGGAAGGAAAGAACUCAAGCUUGUCCGGAGACUGAGGGC
rnacentral:lncRNA from 1 species